UACGUAGGGUGCAAGCGUUAAUCGGAAUUACUGGGCGUAAAGCGUGCGCAGGCGGUUUUGUAAGUUUGUCGUGAAAUCCCCGGGCUCAACCUGGGAAUGGCGAUGAAGACUGCAAGGCUAGAGUUUGGCAGAGGGGGGUAGAAUUCCACGUGUAGCAGUGAAAUGCGUAGAUAUGCGGAGGAACACCGAUGGCGAAGGCAGCCCCCUGGGUCAAAACUGACGCUCAUGCACGAAAGCGUGGGGAGCAAACAGG
rnacentral:rRNA from 1 species